rnacentral:rRNA from 1 species
UACGGAGGAUCCGAGCGUUAUCCGGAUUUACUGGGUUUAAAGGGUGCGUAGGCGGGCGCCUAAGUCAGCGGUGAAAUGCAGCGGCUCAACCGUUGAACUGCCGUUGAGACUGGGCGCCUUGGAUGCGGUCGAGGCCGGCGGAAUGCGUGGUGUAGCGGUGAAAUGCUUAGAUAUCACGCAGAACGGCAAUUGCGAAGGCAGCUGGCCGGGCCGCAAUCGACGCUGAGGCACGAAAGCGUGGGGAUCAAACAGGAUUAGAUACCCUGGUAGUCCACGCCGUAAACGAUGAUGGCUAGCUGUUGGCGAUACACAGUCAGCGGCUGAGCGAAAGCGGUAAGCCAUCCACCUGGGGAGUACGGUCGCAAGAUUGAA